UCCAUGAAGGGGCUCACCUUGG
rnacentral:piRNA from 1 species